rnacentral:lncRNA from 1 species
CCGCUCACACCCCCGAGCCCGCAGCUCCGCGCCCGGCCCCGCGGCGCCUCCCAGAGCAACGCAGCAGCGCCGCCCGCCGGGAGCCAGCCCGCGCCGGGCGCCGGCCGCGCCGCCCGCUCCGCCCUCUGCAGCGCCGCCCGGCAGCGGCACGGCGGGGCGGGGCGGGACGCGGCCCCUCCCGCCGCCGCGCACCGGGCCGUGCGGCGGGCAGGGGGAGCUGCUGAGGCGGCCACCUGCGGGGGAGGCCGGGGCGAGCGCCCGCAGCCCGGCUGGGCAAGAGCCGAGCCGCGCUGCUCCGCUCCUCUCCGCUCCUCUCCGCUCCUCUCCUCUCCUCUCCUCCCCUCCCCUCCAGAAGCAGCCCCGGCUCCGCGGGCGCUGGGGCGGUGUCUGCGCGACGGCAGCCCCUCGCCUCCGCCCCCAGACCGGGGAGCGGAGAGCAGCGGCGGGGGCGCGGAGCCUCCUUCCCUUCCCUUGCCGGCCGGGCUGCCCCUGCUGCGCGCCGCGCUCUGCGCGCUGCCCCCGCCCCGCGUCCCUCCCGCGCCCGUCUGCCGCUUCCGCCCCUUCGGACCGGCGGGAGAGGGGACGGGGGAAGUUACUUGGAAAUAAAAAAAGGCAAGGAGGGCGGGAUGGAGAACUGGGCGCAGGCAGAAGGACGGAUCUCGCCUGUGUUGGAGGUGGCCGAAGCGGCGGAUCCCACCUGGAGGAGGAGGGCAUCGCACCGCCUCUCCCGCGGCCGCCUACAUCCCCCGUGCGCAGACACGUCUGCCCGGUUCUGCUGAAACCUGAGGGAUGUGGACCCAAUUUGUUACAGAAUCACAGAAUCACAAGGUUGGAAGAGAGCUUCAAGACCAUCAAGUCCAUGUCAUUCCCCAACACCUCAACUAAACCAUGGCACUGAGUGCCACAUCCAGUUUUUUUUUAAAUACAUCCAGGGAUGGUGACUCCACCACCUCCCCAGGCAGCAGGACAUACUGUGUUGUUGACAUACUAUGAAGUGGUUUCAUUAAGUAGAUAUGUUCUGUAAUUCUUUUUUUUUAGAAACUGCAUUUUCCUAAACCAAAGAGCUCAUUUUAGGAUGUAAAAUAAAUGUUCAUUAAAAUAUUAUCUAUAUCUGACU